AAGUGGACAACAGUUUUGUGUCCGGAGAUGGAAACUAGACUCUGUGAAAAUACGGAGGCCGGUAGGACUUGGGCAGUUCGUCGUUCUAAUUCCACUGUUUUUGAAGUAUUUGCUGAUUAUUCUGUGAUGGUUGAUCUCGAGCAAAGGACUUGUUCUUGCCGUCUUUGGCAAAUUGACGGUUUUCCUUGCACACAUGCGGUGGCUGCAAUCCUAGCAAAGAGAGAUUCAGUUUAUGAUUACGUGGAGUGUUACUACAAAACCGACUUCUUUCGAAAAGCCUAUGAGAGACCUAUUUUUCCUAUUCCAGAUAUUGGGAAAGGAUUGGGCAGCAAUGGUUCUGCAGCUGUUGUUGUGCUUCCGCCAAUUACAAAGAGGCCAGCCGGAAGACCACCAACAAAGAGGAUCAAAGUUUUUGGUGAAUUUAAAAGGCCAUUGAAAUGCAGUCGGUGAAGUGUU
rnacentral:lncRNA from 1 species